AUUGAACGCUGGCGGCAGGCUUAACACAUGCAAGUCGAGCGGGGUGAUGGUGCUUGCACUAUCACUUAGCGGCGGACGGGUGAGUAAUGCUUAGGAAUCUGCCUAUUAGUGGGGGACAACAUCUCGAAAGGGAUGCUAAUACCGCAUACGUCCUACGGGAGAAAGCAGGGGAUCACUUGUGACCUUGCGCUAAUAGAUGAGCUUAAGUCGGAUUAGCUAGUUGGUGGGUAAAGGCCUACCAAGGCGACGAUCUGUAGCGGGUCUGAGAGGAUGAUCCGCCACACUGGGACUGAGACACGGCCCAGACUCCUACGGGAGGCAGCAGUGGGGAAUAUUGGACAAUGGGGGGAACCCUGAUCCAGCCAUGCCGCGUGUGUGAAGAAGGCCUUAUGGUUGUAAAGCACUUUAAGCGAGGAGGAGGCUCUUUUGGUUAAUACCCAAGAUGAGUGGACGUUACUCGCAGAAUAAGCACCGGCUAACUCUGUGCCAGCAGCCGCAGUAA
rnacentral:rRNA from 1 species